UACGUAGGUGACCAGCGUUGUCCGGAUUUACUGGGCGUAAAGAGCGCGCAGGCGGUCGUUCAAGUCGAGUGUGAAAGCCCCCGGCUCAACUGGGGAGGGUCACUCGAUACUGAUCGACUUGAAGGCAGGAGAGGGAAGCGGAAUUCCCGGUCGUAGUGGUGAAAUGCGUAGAUAUCGGGAGGAACACCAGUGGCGAAGGCAGCUCGCUGGGACGGUACUGACGCUGAGGCGCGAAAGCGUGGGGAGCAAACAGGG
rnacentral:rRNA from 1 species